UCAUUUAGUGAGCCCUCGAUUUGAAAAAAAAGGAAGAACAACGGUUGUCUUCCUCGAUUCUAAAAAAGAACCAGAUCUGAACUUUUCUGCCUCCGGACUUCCCCAUAUUCCUUCUCUAUUCUUCACAAUGAUUUUUCUUAUUCCUCUCUUGUUUACCUUCAAAUACUGAAGGAUUCGGAGGGGGUGGACCUUCCGUGGGGUCGGAGGUCAAAGGUCGAUUAUUCAAGUUUUCCGGCAAUGCUCGGUGGCUGGCGGUGGGGUCGGCCGACCCCACGAGACCCCACCUGGGUCCGUCAGUGAUUAUAGUCCGAGUAGAAUGGAGAGUCAACCCGCACAGAGAAGCCUCUCGCUAAACCUCCGCCGCCGUUCCUCUCAACAGCCACCACGUCUUCAGAUGUUCAGGCCAAUCUGAUCAAAUUCUGGAUUGUUUAAUUGCAUAGCCAGUGAAAUAACCACACCAGCCGGUGAAUAUGGAUUACAAGACCUAUUAAUACACCAGCCUGUGAAAAGUCCAAACGAUUGAUGGGGAAACAGAUAAACAUAUUUCUGUUUGGAGAAAGCACAGAGACAGUGUUGUGCCACUUUUUCUUAUGCUAGCCUUUAUGCGCAAGGUCAAAUGAGCUCUUUGUGCUAAGCCAGGCCACUUAUCACAUUCACAACGAGUUUAUGAGGCCAGAAUCGGUGCACCCACCCAGAGCUCAAAUGCAUUUCCACUCCUCCCCCCCCCCGCUUAGUCAGGAGGUGGAUUUUCCAGGAUAUUUGCAUCUCUACUUCUGACCAAAUAAGUGGUAGCAUUUACUCAUCUGGCCUUGUUAGCAUUGGAAUUGGUGCUAUGCCCCAGACACGGAAAUUGGCUGACGAUAUAGAACCUGUUGGAUCCCAGAUUCCCAUACAAGUUCCUUCAUCUCACAUUUCAAUUGGCGAUGGUCCACAAACGCUGAAAACGACAUCAUUUCUUCAGUCUCUCAUGCUUUGGCCAGCUACUGAUGGAACCUUCCAGUUAUGCAAAAGAACCUGGAAAUGCUGAUCCUACUAAUGCAGCUCUGUUUUCUGAGCAUCCUGGGACAAAAGCCACUUAUAACCUUUGGUGAUGCAUUAGAUAUGUACCAUACCAUCUCAGAGAAGUGGAAUGGAGGGUAGCGUAUUACUGCUCGAAGUCAGUUUUGACCACUUCGAUAUUAAGUGUCUCUCAGUUCAUACUAAAGCCAUCAAUGAGGAACUACUGCAAAAACUUUCUGAUGCUCUACAUUUUUCGCUACGUGAUAAAAUUGGAGUUGGUCUUGCUGGGUCCAAAAUCUGAAGAUCACGAUACCAGGAUGUGUGGAAAUAAUUUCAGUUUGAGUCAGAUUAAAGAGCUGUGUGCCAAUCCUAUUGUAUUUGAGGCGACUGAGAUAAUUCAACAUAUUCUCGUGUUACUCUUAGUUGAUCUGAAGGGCCUCUCUAAGCAUUCAGAUUCAUUCUUGCAAAUGUUAUCUCUUGUGCAACUAAGGUGCUUUCUGUGAUAGUUCCUCGUGCAAAAAUAGACUAGAAUUUCUUAGUCGAUCUGAAGGCCGAAGCCCAACUACGUGGAAAUCACUUCUUCAGCGUUGUUAAAAACGCGCCGCACUUGGGUGAGCAAGAUCUGGGGGCGGCGGCCCGGUGGGGGCAAGUCGUGGGGCGGCAGGGGGCGACUGAGUUCUUAACUUAGAAGAAGCGGGGGGAAAGAGAAUAGAUCAAGUUUCUGAAAGAUGUUCAGGACCUCUCUCCUAGUCACAUUCAACCUUUGGGUUCACUUUUGAAUAUCUUUGUGGAAGCUUGUCCCACUAUUUUAAAGGACUAAGCCAUGGAGCCUGAUGAGAAACUUAUACUAAAUGCAACACAAUUGAUGGUAUCAAGGUUGGCAGGAAGUCUUUUGCUAAUGUAACCUUUAAGGUUGAGUCUAAGGCUGCGUAGCAAGCAUAACUCGGUCACGUGUUGAGAGCGCUACUUCAGUGUUGAUAAGUUCUAGAGAUGUCCCCUGUUCUUUAACAGUAAGGUUCUCGCUUCCGGUAUAGGGGUGUGAUCAUGGCACGACUGCUUACUUGCUUUUUACCCAAACAUGAGCUAAGUAGGAGCUAACUUCUAAAUGAGGCAAGACGAGAGAAGAAAUAACUAACCCCCAUCACCUAACUUCUAAAGCAAACAAGGGAGUAUUUUGUGUCCGCUCACAUUUUCUCGUCCUUCACAUAAAGGGCAAUGUUAAUAUUAAGAUUUGGGGUUAGGGUCUUUGUGCAUUUUGAUUAUGUGGCUGUAAAUAAUUUGAUUAAUUUCUCUCUGAUUUGUUGAUUCUGAAUUUUCCUUUUUCAGCAGUGUAUAUAACAAUGUGAAUACUAAAGAAGUUAUGUGUUUUUAAGUGGCAGGACUAUGCCACGGAGCCUGAUGUGAAUUGAUUCUGAAGUUUCCUUUUUCAGCAGUGUAUAUAACAAUGUGAAUACUAAAGAAGUUAUGUGUUUUUAAGAGGCAGGACUAUGCCACGGAGCCUGAUGAGAAACUUAUACAAAAUGCAACACAUUUGAUGGUAGCAAGGUUGGCAGGAAGUCUUGGUAAUGUAACCUGUAAGGUUGAGUGUAAAGCUGCGUAGCAAGCAGAACUCGGUCCCGUGUUGAUAGCUCUACCUCAGUGUUGAUCAAGUUCCAGAGAUGUCCCCUGUUCUUCAGCAGUGAGGUGUUAUAGCUGUAACCACUACUCGUAGGAUUUUUAUGCUAAUACACUUUGAGCACACAGUUUUGUAGGGACUAACCCGGAGUUGUCCUGAUUCUCACUUCUGGUAUAGGGGGGCACCACCCCUUACUUGCUUUCUACGUAAACAAGGAAGUAUUCUAUCUCCCUUUACAUUUUCUUGUCCUUCACAUUGAGGCUAAUGUUUAGAAUAGUUUUGAGGUGUGGGUGUUUGCGUGCAUUCUUUUUUUGUGGUUGUAAUUUAUCCUAUUUGUGUUUGUAUGCAAGAUUUUCUCUAUUGAUUUUCACCAUAAAUACUCUUUUAUGGGUUAUUAGUGUAGACUAGUUUCUCUCGAGGGUUGGAGAACUAAGAUUCCCUAAUUUAAAACACCUAACUUAUUAAUAUUUUAAUAUGUGAAAAUGAAUUUGUGCUGCUGAACAAGACACGCUGCCGAACAAGACCAAGUACAUAUCUUAUAGUAUUUUCUCUGGUCUCUUGAUAUUUUCUCUCUGGUGAACGUGGAGUCUGUUGAUGUUUUUUUCGAUAAAUGGGAUUUACUUUUUAAAGCAAUAAUACUAGCAAAUAACUGAUAUAAAAAAUUUGGUAAAAGAUUGUGUUAAUUUAAUCCAUUGUCUAUGGGUUUGGGAUUCAUAUUGUUUCUAUUUUGCCCUUGUUGCAUUUUAACCUUGUAUACAUGCAGUCCAAACCAUUGAUGGGAAACAGAUACAACUUUCUAUUAGGAGAAAGUAUAGAGAAUGUUGUGCAACUAUUUUUUAUGCUAGCCUUUAUGUACAAGGUCAAAUGAGCCUUUUGUCCUAAGCUAGACCUGUCAUAUUUACAACAAAGAGUUUAUGAGGUUAUUCUCUGACAAAUUCUAGGACAUCUAAGUUGAUUCAGGUGGUCAGGUACAUAUUAUGAUAUUAUUUAUUUUCAUCUUUGUGAUCUUUAUUUGUGUCUCAUUUCAUUUUUUUCAUUUGGUUGUAUCAUUUUGCUCGUUUUCCAGGCAAGAAUCGAUCCAUCCAGAGCUCAAAUGCAUUUCCAGUUUCACCCUCCGCUUCAUCAGUAGGUGGAUUUUCCUAUCAAUUUGCAUCUCUACUUCUGACGAAAUGAGUGUUAGCACUGGAAUUGGUGCUAUGCCCCACACACCCGAAACUGGCUCUGACGAGAUAGAACCUGUUGGAUCCCCGAUACCUCCAAGUUCCUUCUUCUCACAUUCAAUUGGCGAUGGUCCACAAACUCCUGAAAAUGACAUCAUUCCUUCAUUCCCUCCUGCUUUGGCCAGUUAUUGAUGAAACCUUUCAGUUAUGCAAACGAACCUGGAAAUGCUGCACAUCAUACUAAUGAAACUCUGUCUGCCGAGCAUCCUGGGACAAAUGUACCAUACUAUCUCAGAGAAGGACAAUAUUUCCGAAGAUGCACCAUAUAAUUUCAUAGGCUGGGCUUGGUCUAGAAGUGGGAAUGAUCCUACAUGAUAAUGAUGAAGCACAAGUCCGAAUAGCAGCUGCUGAAAAGGAGCUAAGGAGGAGUUAACUUCUAAAUGAGGCAAGAUGAUAGAAGAAAUACCUAACCCCCAUCACCUAACUUUUAACGCAAACAAAGGGAGUAUUUUGUUUUCGCUCACAUUCAUUUUCUUGUCCUUCACAAAAAGGACAAUGUUAAGAUUAAGAUUUGGGGACUAUGCCACAGAUCCUGAUGAGAAACUUAUACGAAAUGCAACACAUUUGAUGGUAGCAAGGUUGGCAGGAAGUCUUGGUAAUGUAACCUGUAAGGUUGAGUGUAAAGCUGCGUAGCAAGCAGAACUCGGUCCCAUGUUGAUAGCUCUACUUCAGUGUUGAUCAAGUUCCAGAGAUGUCCCCUGUUCUUCAGCAGUGAGGUGUUAUAGCUGUAACCACUACUCGUAGGAUUUUUAUGCUAGUACAUUUUGAGCACACAGUUUUGUAGGGACUAACCCGGAGUUGUCCUAGUUCUCACUUCUGGUAUAGGGGGGCACCACCCCUUACUUGCUUUCUACGUAAACAAGGAAGUAUUCUAUCUCCCUUUACAUUUUCUUGUCCUUCACAUUGAGGCUAAUGUUUAGAAUAGUUUUGAGGUGUGGGUGUUUGCGUGCAUUCUUUUUUUUGUGGUUGUAAUUUAUCCUAUUUGUGUGUGUAUGCAAGGUUUUUUCUAUUGAUUUUCACCAUAAAUACUCUUUUAUGGGUUAUUAGUGUAGACUAGUUUCUCUCAAGGGUUGGAGAACUAAGAUUCCCUAAUUUAAAAACCUAACUUAUUAAUAUUUUAAUAUGUGAAAAUAAAUUUGUGCUGCUGAACAAGACACGCUGCCGAACAAGACCAAGUACAUAUCUUAUAGUAUUUUCUAUGGUCUCUUGAUAUUUUCUCUCUGGUGAAUGUAGAGUCUGUUGAUGUUUUUUCCGAUAAAUGGGAUUUACUUUUUAAAGCAAUAAUAGUAGCAAAUAACUGAUAUAAAAAUUUGGUAAAAGAUUGUAUUAAUUUAAUCCAUUGUCUAUGGGUUUGGGAUUCAUAUUGUUUUUAUUUUGCCCUUGUUGCAUUUUAACCUUGUAUACAUGCAGUCCAAACCAUUGAUGGGAAACAGAUCAACAACAUUCUAUUAGGAGAAAGUAUAGAGAAUGCUGUGCAACUAUUUUUUAUGCUAGCCUUUAUGUACAAGGUCAAAUGAGCCAACAACCAGUUUAUGAGGUUAUUCUCUGACAAAUUCUUGGACAUCUAAGUUGAUUCAGGUGGUCGGGUAAGAAUCGAUCCAUCCAGAGCUCAAAUGCAUUUCCAAUUUGACCCUCCGCUUCAUCGGUAGGUGGAUUUUCCUAUCAAUUUGCAUCUCUACUUCUGACGAAAUGAGUGUUAGCACUGGAAUUGGUGCUAUGCCCCACACACCCGAAAUUGGAUCUGAUGAGAUAGAACCUGUUGGAUCCCCGAUACCUCCAAGUUCCUUCAUCUCACAUUCAAUUGGCGAUGGUCCACAAACUCCAGAAAAUGACAUCAUUCCUUCAUUCCCUCCUGCUUUGGCCAGUUAUUGAUGAAACCUUUCAGUUAUGCAAACGAACCUGGAAAUGCUGCACAUCAUACUAAUGAAACUCUGUCUGCCGAGCAUCCUGGGACAAAUGUACCAUACUAUCUCAGAGAAGGAGCUAAGGAGGAGUUAACUUCUAAAUGAGGCAAGAUGAGAGAAGAAAUACCUAACCCCCAUCACCUAACUUUCAACGCAAACAAGGGAGUAUUUUGUUUUCGCUCACAUUCAUUUUCUUGUCCUUCACAAAAAGGACAAUGUUAAGAUUAAGAUUUGGGGACUAUGCCACAGAUCCUGAUGAGAAACUUAUACGAAAUGCAACACAUUUGAUGGUAGCAAGGAGUCAAGGAGGUGUUAACUUCUUUGGAGCCAAGAUGAGAAAAGAAAUACCUAACUUCCCACACAAACAAGAGAGAUCUCGCCUAUCACAUAAAGGGAAAUGUUAAGAUUCAUUUUGGGGGUGUGGGUGUUUGUGUUUGUGUUUGUGUUUGUGUUUGUACCGUGUGCCCUUUGUAUUUUGUGUAUAGUAAUAGUGUAGUGUGCUAGUGUAGAGUGCGCAUUGUUUGUAUUUUUUAUAUUGUAUGAACCGUGUGUAUUUUGUGAA